rnacentral:rRNA from 1 species
GACGAACGCUGGCGGCGUGCUUAACACAUGCAAGUCGAACGGAAAGGCCUUUUCGGAGGUACUCGAGUGGCGCACGGGUGAGUAACACGUGGGUGAUCUGCCCUGCACUCUGGGAUAAGCCUGGGAAACUGGGUCUAAUACCGGAUAGGACCGCACUUUAGUGUGUGUGGUGGAAAGUUUUUUCGGUGUAGGAUGAGCCCGCGGCCUAUCAGCUUGUUGGCGGGGUAAUGGCCUACCAAGGCGGCGACGGGUAGCCGGACUGAGAGGUUGGUCGGCCACAUUUGGACUUAGAUACGGCCCAGACUCCUACGGGAGGCAGCAGUGGGGAAUAUUGCACAAUGGGCGCAAGCCUGAUGCAGCGACGCCGCGUGGGGGAUGACGGCCUUCGGGUUGUAAACUCCUUUCGCCAGGGACGAAGCGUUUUGUGACGGUACCUGGAGAAGAAGCACCGGCUAACUACGUG